GGUUCGAUUAUGGCUCAGAUUGAACGCUGGCGGGAUGCUUUACACAUGCAAGUCGGGCUGACAACUGGACUUCGGUCUGGUGGCGAGUGGCGAACGGGUGAGUAAUGUAUCGGAACGUGCCUAGUAGCGGGGGAUAACUACGCGAAAGCGUAGCUAAUACCGCAUACGCCCUUCGGGGAAAGCGGGGGACCUUCGGGCCUCGCACUAUUAGAGCGGCCGAUAUCGGAUUAGCUAGUUGGUGGGGUAACGGCUCGCAAGGCGACGUCCGUAGCUGGUUUUGAGAGGACGACCAGCCACACUGGGACUGAGACACGGCCCAGACUCCUACGGGAGGCAGCAGUGGGGAAUUUUGGACAAUGGGGGAAACCCUGAUCCAGCCAUCCCGCGUGUGCGAUGAAGGCCUUCGGGUUGUAAAGCACUUUUGGCAGGAAAGAAACGGCACGGGAUAAUACCCCGUGCAACUGACAGUACCUGCAGAAUAAGCACCGGCUAACUACGUGCCAGCAGCCGCGAGUAGCCGUAAGUGCAAGCGUUAAUCAAAUUACUGGGCGUAAAGCGUGCGCAGGCGGUUCGGAAGAAAGAUGUGAAAUCCCAGAGCUUAACUUUGGAACUGCAUUUCAACUACCGAGCUAGAGUGUGUCAGAGGAGGUGGAAUUCCGCGUGUAGCAGUGAAAUGCGUAGAUCUGCGGAGGAACACCGAUGGCGAAGGCAGCCUCCUGGGAUAACACUGACGCUCAUGCGAAAGCGUGGGGGCAAACAGGAUUAGAUACCCUGGUAGUCCACGCCCUAAACGAUGUCAACUAGCUGUUGGGGCCUUCGGGCCUUGGUAGCGCAGCUAACGCGUGAAGUUGACCGCCUGGGGAGAUACGGUCGCAAGAUUAAAACUCAAAGGAAUUGACGGGGACCCGCACAAGCGGUGGAUGAUGUGGAUUAAUUCGAUGCAACGCGAAAAACCUUACCUACCCUUGACAUGUCUGGAAUCCCGAAGAGAUUUGGGAGUGCUCGCAAGAGAACCGGAACACAGGUGCUGCAUGGCUGUCGUCAGCUCGUGUCGUGAGAUGUUGGGUUAAGUCCCGCAACGAGCGCAACCCUUGUCAUUAGUUGCUACGAAAGGGCACUCUAAUGAGACUGCCGGUGACAAACCGGAGGAAGGUGGGGGGAUGACGUCAAGUCCUCAUGGCCCUUAUGGGUAGGGCUUCACACGUCAUACAAUGGUCGGACAGAGGGUCGCCAACCCGCGAGGGCCAAUCCCAGAAACCCGAUCGUAGUCCGGAUCGCAGUCUGCAACUCGACUGCGUGAAGUCCGGAAUCGCUAGUAAUCGCGGAUCAGCAUGUCGCGGUGAAUACGUUCCCGGGUCUUGUACACACCGCCCGUCACACCAUGGGAGUGGGUUUACCAGAAGUAGUUAGCCUAACCGUAAGGAGGGCGAUUACCACGGUAGGAUUCAUGACUGGGGUGAAGUCGUAACAAGGUAA
rnacentral:rRNA from 1 species